CCUACGGGAGGCAGCAGUGAGGAAUAUUGGUCAAUGGGCGGGAGCCUGAACCAGCCAAGCCGCGUGAAGGAAGAAGGUACAGCGUAUCGUAAACCGCUUUUGUCAAGGGACAAAGGCGGGGACGAGUAUCCGGCUGAGGGUACCUGAAGAAAAAGCAUCGGCUAACUCCGUGCCAGCAGCCGCGGUAAUACGGAGGAUGCAAGCGUUAUCCGGAUUUAUUGGGUUUAAAGGGUGCGCAGGCGGCUUGUUAAGUCAGCGGUAAAAGCCCGGGGCUCAACCCCGGCGAGCCGUUGAAACUGGCGGGCUGGAGUUGGAGUGCGGUACGCGGAAUGCGCGGUGUAGCGGUGAAAUGCUUAGAGAUCGCGCAGAACCCCGAUUGCGAAGGCAGCGUACCGGCUCCACACUGACGUUGAGGCACGAAAGCGUGGGUAUCGAACAGGAUUAGAUACCCCAGUAGUC
rnacentral:rRNA from 1 species